CAUCCUGUGAGUGUGAGGAUCCAUUGCUGCAGUAUCAUCAUCAUACCACCCAGGCUUGACCAGUUGAGACAGGGACAGGGCAGGAAGUGGCCAUGUGCUGUCAAGUAAAGGCUAGCGUGAGAUUAUCACGUCUUCGGCGCAGAAAGAAAUCCAAUCCAUCUUUCCGCAGUCUCCUUUGGUAGCUCGUUAUGGGCAGGCCCACUCCAGCGAUAUUGGGAGAACCCGCCUAGGGAGGGCAAAACGCCCCUGCGAGAGCCGGUGGGAUAGGCCUGUCUGUUAUCGUGGUCGGUUUUCCAGGAGAAAGGGGGUAUCCCGUCCGAAAUCUCAAACUUGCUGUGCGCUUGAGCUUCAAGAAUCGUCAGCUUUUUUUUUACACGUCUGCCAGGUAUAACUGAGUGAAGAAUACCAUGGCCAAACUGGUCCCUGGAGAUACAGGUAGACAAAGGUAAAUCAUCAAAUGCUUCAACAUCUACUAAGUGGUAAAAAACUAGUUUCAUUGUUCAUUGCAAUUAGAAUUUUCACCAGAAGUUUAAGUCCAUAUUUUAAAGUCUACUUUGUGUCUUCUUUGUUUAGAACAGUCACACUUCCAGGUUUUGCACACCUGGCAAUUGAAUGUGAAUAGAUUUUAGGUCAGGUAAAUUUUACCUGUUGAUUCAGAGGUUUAAUUAUCUGGAUGUGGCUUAACCAGGUGUUCACCAGAUUGAACUGAAGAUGUAUAGAUUAUGUCCCAAGAGAGGAAAUAAAACCUUUAAGAGUCGUCUCCUCAAAAUGUCUUGUAUCAUGUGAUGCCUGCUUGAUCAUGUGUACAAUGUAGUUGUCAUUGAACAGUAUCUAUUUUAAACCAAAGAAAACAAUUAUUACUUUACAAGAGUGUUUCAAAAUAUUGUGUAAUGGUAAAGUUGAUUAAAAUUCUAUAUAUUGAGCAAAAG